rnacentral:lncRNA from 1 species
GAAACAACCAACGGGAGUCUGAGGAGCCAUUGUGAGCAAUGGGAAACACUCACAGAAUGUGUGGUAACGAGAGAUCCAAACACCUAGCGCUCCAGGAGCUUUGGGCUUGUCACCUAUGCCAAUUUAGAGGAGGGGAAUGCAGCCAUGAAUCAAGGCCACACAAAGUAGAUGGAAGAGUUGUGGAAACAAAGGGAGUUGUCUCAAGCGAAGAUUCCCAAAGACUAGGUGCCCACUUAACUGUGAGAAAGAUAUUUGUUGGUGCUAUUAAAGGAGACAUUGAAGAGCAUCACCUAAGAGAUUAUUUUGAACAGAAUGGGAAAAUUUAAAUGAUUGAAAUCAUGGCUGUCUGAGGCAGUGGCAAGAAAAAGGGCUUUGCUUUUGUAACCUUUGACAACCGUGACUCUGUGGAUAAGACUGUCAUUCAGAAACACCAUACUGUGAAUGGAUAUAAUGGGAAGUAAGGAAAGCACUUUUAAAAGCAAGAGAUGGCUUCACGAAGCCAAAGAGGUCACAGUGGUUUUGGAAACUUUGGUAGUAGCUGUGAAGGUGGUUUUGGUGGAAAUGACAAUUUUGGUCAUGGAGGAAACUUUAAUGGUUGUGUAGGCUUUAGAGGCAGCUGUGGUGGUGGUGGAUAUGGUGGCAGUGGGCAUAGUUAUAAUGAAUUCUGUAAUGUUGGUGCUUAGGGAGGAGGAAGCCCUGGUUACUCUGGAGGAGGAAGCAGAGGCUACAGAAGUGGUGAACAGGGUUAUGGAAACCAGGGCAGUGGCUAUGGCAGGAUUGGCACCUAUGACUGCUAUAACAAUGGAGGAGGCAGAGGCAGCAUUAAUGCUAGCAGUGGAAGCAAUUUUGGAGGUGGCAGAAGCUACAAUGAUUUUGGCAAUUACAACUGUCAGUCUUCAAAUUUUGAAUCCAUGAAGGGAGAAAACUUUGGAGGCAGAAGUUCUGGUUCCUAUGGUGGUGGAGGCCAAUACUUUGCCAAACCAUAAAACCAAGGCAGCUGUGGUGGUUCCAGUAGCAGCAAUAGCUACAGCAGUAGCAGAAGAUUU